UACGGAGGGUGCAAGCGUUAUCCGGAUUCACUGGGUUUAAAGGGUGCGUAGGUGGGCAGGUAAGUCAGUGGUGAAAUCUCCGGGCUUAACCCGGAAACUGCCAUUGAUACUAUUUGUCUUGAAUAUUGUGGAGGUAAGCGGAAUAUGUCAUGUAGCGGUGAAAUGCUUAGAUAUGACAUAGAACACCAAUUGCGAAGGCAGCUUACUACACAGUUAUUGACACUGAGGCACGAAAGCGUGGGGAUCAAACAGG
rnacentral:rRNA from 1 species